CAACCAUCAAGCCCUAGGCUUGCGUUGGAGCCCUGCGGCUGCCGCAGGCCCCUAAAAGCAGUGGCGGGCUCGCUAUCACACCGAGUGCAGUAGAUUACUCUUCGCUCAGGGCGUGUGGCGGGUUCCAGCCGUGAAACCCCCUACUUCUCAA
rnacentral:misc_RNA from 1 species